ensembl:lncRNA
CUUAGAGAAUGAGCAAAGUAGACUGCCGAGGGACAAGGACAAAAAAUUAAAAGACACAGCAUUACUUCCCUGAACAUUCUCCUGGUUUCCACCAGUUUGCUGUUCAGGGACUGCCUGACCCACAGAUGUCUGUAUGCUUAGGGUGUCAUAUGGACAUCUCGAGUUUCUUCAGCAAGCUAGGAAGCAUUUCCUUUGGUCAACCUGAAUGUCUGUGGAACAGACUCGUGGACUUCUAAACACCUUCCAAGCUCUGUGUGAAAAAUGACCCAUAUGGAUCAUGCCCUGAAACUGACCACCUCAAAAUGACUGUUGCAAUACACAUAGAAGUCAAUGGAAGGUUAUCAAGACUUACAGGAAUAAUUUGACACAGCUAAACAUCUGCUUUGUCUUCAAAGAUACAGAAGAAAAAAGAAAGAGAAGAAAGUUCUGAGAGAGGAAAUUGCACAGAAAUUGCAUAAAUCCUUACUGUCAAUUGCGUCAGCUAGUGAUUUCCUUACUCUAAACCAGAUGAAGAAUUUCAGUUCUAUGACAUUUGAGGUUUCAUAUUUGCUGUGUAAGCUACUGAGAAGAGAACCAGAUGUCAAGUAUUGAUUGUAUGUCAUAUCAGUUUCAAUGGAAGAAGACAGAAGCUAAGUGAGUUUGUUGCCUACGCACACUUAAAUCUCUGGUUUACCUUGCCCUUCACAUUUUAAGAAGACACAACACAGGCUCAUUCGACAUUUGCUAUGCUGAAGAGAUGUUACAAGCUGUAGAAAGGAAUAGAACUACCAAGCACUAAUGUUUGUGCACC